rnacentral:lncRNA from 1 species
CAGAACAUGAGUCCAAAAUUCAUAUUUGCUUUGGGCUACAGUUUCUAGAGAUUUCCUUAUUGGUAACUGAAACUAGAAAUGUACCUCCUAUUCACUCUAGGGCUUCUUGUCUCUUUGGACUUCUCUUCCUAAACUCCAGGAUUCUGGGGCAUCCCUGGUCUUGGCUACUGAGCCUCAGGGUCCCUGCCCUCCAACUCAACCUUCCCCCAGAAGUGGACACACUGCUGCUACUUGCUCUACAGACAGGAACAAGUCGGUCAGGAAGCCUUGCCACAACCAUGGCUUUUAAAGACACUGGGGAGACAUCGUGGGACCAGAGGCGGUGUUUCACAGAACUAGAAAUAUUCUCACCAGCUGCAGUGUAAAAUCUUUAAAGAAGGUACAUGUUGACUUGAUCAGAGGCACAAAGGAAAAGAAUCUCAAAGUGAAAGGACCAGUUCGGAUGCCUACCAAGACUCUGAAAAUCACUACAAGAAAAACUCCUUGAGGUGAAGGUUCUAAGACUUGGGAUCAUUUUUGGAUGAGGCUCCAAAAGCAUCUCAUCAACUGGCACUGUUCUUGUGAGAUUCCUAAAUAGAUUACUUCCAUCAGUAUUGUGCCAGGAGUUGAGGCUGAAGUCACCAUUGCAGAUGCUUAAUCAAUCUUUUUAAUAAAUUAUCAAUUGUUAAAAAAAAAAAAAAAGAACUCAAGAUGUUAGGAGUGAAUAGUUUAUAAAAAGCCAUGGCCACAAUCACCCUUCCACAUAAACCACACAUAAUAGUCACUUUAAAAAUAUCAAAUUUUCAAUUCAUCAUCAUUUUUACAGCCCCCAGGGAGGGGGAGGAAUCCAUUUGAGUUAACUACAAUGAUUAAUAAAAGCAUUUAAGUGUCCUUUGUCUUUUUAAAUAUGUAUUUACUCAUGAAGGUCUAGGUUUAAAAUUAAGGAACAAGUAGAUUUUUAACCAAAGCACAUUCAUAGAUAUUCAUUGAUUUCCCCAAGCACUAUAUUACCUAUUUCCCCCACCCCCAGAAGAGAGUUACAUGAAUUAGAGUGUUUUAUGAUAAGCAUAGGUUAGAUGAAAAUAAUUGAUACUAC